GACAGAGGUGCCGAGCGUUAGGCGGAAUCACUGGGCUUAAAGCGUGUGUAGGCGGAUCGUUAAGUACCUUGUGAAAUCCCCCGGCUCAACCGGGGAACUGCUGGGUAUACUGGCGAUCUUGAGCAACCUAGGGGCAGAUGGAACAAGUGGUGGAGCGGUGAAAUGCGUAGAUAUCACUUGGAACGCCAAAGGUGAAAACAGUCUGCUGGGGAUUUGCUGACGCUGAGACACGAAAGCCAGGGGAGCGAACGGG
rnacentral:rRNA from 1 species